CCCUCAUCGGCGCAGUGGACUUCACGCAACGUAAAUUCCGAGCCGUGCCAGGAAUAAGCUGCAUCCUCCGCGUCCCCACAGAAGUGUUUAUCUUGACGCUUACGUCUUCACCAUCGUCCAGAUUGUGCAAGCCUUCCGCUUUGACAAAGUGUGGCGUGUCGUCCAGUUUCCUCAUUUUCUGGACGCCAUCCUGGAUUUCUUCGAGCUUGUUCCCAAAUAGAAGCUUUUCCUGUGCUUACACAACGGCCAUACUCUCCUCAUCGUUUCUGCCGCCGUCAUGGACUUCAUGCCGUUCGCCGCCUUGGUGUGUUUUUCGACCUCCUUUCCGUUCUGUGCGUUUGCGCCGGCCAUCGCAGUUGGUCUCGUGGAGCACCACCAACGCCUGGGAGUCUUGGACGGGGUUCACUGGCUGCUGCAGAAUCAUGUCACCACCUCGUCGCCUUCAUCAGCGCCCUACACUUCACGCCAUGAAUCUUCUGAGCCGUGCGAGGGAUAAGCUGCAUCCCCCGCGUCCCCACAGAAGUGUCUAUCUUGACGCUUACGGCUCCAUCAUCGUCCAGAUUGUGCAGGCCUUCCGCUUUGACAAAGUGUGGCGUGUCGUCCAGCUUUCUCAUUUCGUGGACGUUUUUCUGCAUUUCAUCGAGCUUGUUCCCAAAUCGAAGCUACACAACGGCCUUACUUUCCUCAUCGUUUAUGCCGCCGCCGUAGACUUGAUAUUUUUCGCCGCCUUGCUGUGUUUCUCGACCUCCUUUCCUGUUUUGUGCGUUUGCGCCGGCCAUCGCCGUUGGGCUCGUGGAGCACCACCAACGCCUGGGAGUCUUGGACGGGACGUCUUAGCUGCUUCGAAUGACGUCAUCCACCUCGUCACCUUCACCAGCGACGUGGACUUCAAGCCAUGUACCUUCCGAGCCGUGCCAGCGAUGAGCUGCUUGCCCCGCGUCCGCACAGAAGUGUUAAGAGUUUGUUUAGAAAAGUUUUGUGGUGCGGUGCAUGUGUUCCGGAUCUCGAAGAUGAUCCUGUCGGCAAGUCUAGCUGAUGGGAAUGCUGGCCGAUUCGUGUUACUUUGUCAAAGCGGAGGGCCUGCGCCGUCUGGACGCUGUAGGCGUCGUGAGCGUGCAACGCCUGUCCCAUUUUCGUCUUGGGCACCAUCAUCAUGGAGACGGCGGCGGCGUCCUCUCGCAGCUUCACCAGCGUACCAAGACAUCGCCGGCUGUCACGCUAGCGAGGACCCUUCGUGAACCAGACUGCACCACGUCGGCAACUUUUGUUGAAGGUGACUUCGGAACAUUUGGUCUGAAGAGAAGUCUAAUGGUGUGGAGCAGGUGUUACCGAUCUCAAAGAUGAUCCUGUCGGCAAGUUUAGCUGAUGGGAAGGCUCGCCGAUACGUUUUACUUUGUCGAAUCGGAGCCCCUGCGCAGUCUGGACGCUGUAGGCGUCGUGAGCGCGCAACGAGAGUCUUUUUUUCUUCUUGUGUUCUAUCAUCAUGUAGACUGCGGCGGCGUCCUCUCGCAGCUUCACCAGUGUACCACGACAUCGCCGGCUGUCACGCUAGCGUUGACGCAUUGAAAACCGGCCUGUACCACGUCGGCACGUUUUGAUGAAGGUUGAUCUUUGUUUGGUCUUAUGGCUAACGUGAUUUGGAAGAAAAUUAUAGGAGCACGAUGCCUGUAUUUUGAUAUCGAGGGAGGCAAACGAAAAUUGUUCAUAAAACCUUAACUUAAUGUUCAUUUCUUAUUGAUGUUUAUGUUGUGUGAAUGUUGUGAUGAAUAGAUUUGGCAAUUCUUAGUAAUUUGCUAGAUUGGUUUGUUUGUUUUGCAUAUAAAAGAAAAGCGUAGAGAGGGUGAGGCAACUGGAAACAUUUUGACAUAUUUAUCAUUGUAACUCGGGAGUAAAUGAAGUUAGACUUUAGCGCUCGGGUCGAGAAGAAAGCCACAACUUUGUACUACACCAAUCUGCUUUGUUUUUGAGAAUAUUUUAUAACCGUUUUGUGAGAAAGAUAUCUUUAGUGCAGCUCUGAACUUUGUCUCCAGGUGCUUGGCGGCUGUAGGGUCCCCCACUUCCAAAAUAGGUGUACAACGAGUUGGCGAGUUGACGAGUUGCCGCGAGUAAGGCACGAGUUGUCAUCAAUUUUUGAGGAGUUUUGCGCUAUUUUUCGCAGAUUUAGCGCGAGUUUUCGCAAAUUUCCGCGAGUUUGCACGAGUUCUUGCGAGUUUUUGCAAAUUCGACGCGAGUUUGACGCGAUUUGGGUGCGGGCAAGUGUACAACGAGUUGGCUAGUGGGGGAUCCCUCGUUCGCGGCAUUUCUGUGUGCUUCAGCCUGGGGCACCUUGAGACAAAGUCCAGUGUUGCAAGCGGGCGGUAACAUUGGUGAUUUCGGAAGUUUUUCAAAUUUUAGCGACGUUAAAGUCAUGGGAAGCUGACAACAGUGCGACGACAAUUAUUAAACAAGCCGGUGGCUUUCGCCUAAAUAAUGGCUGAGCAGUGAGGUGCUAAGUGUCGGGAAUAGGGCAUAUCGUACACGCUGUCGUACAACAAAAUUGGCACAUCCAACCAAUACGUCAAAGAGCACAGGAUCUAGAAUGAAAUCACUUGCGAAAUAGUUUGUUUGUGUUUUUCC